rnacentral:rRNA from 1 species
AGUGAACGCUGGCGGUAGGCCUAACACAUGCAAGUCGAACGGCAGCACAGUAAGAGCUCGCUCUUACGGGUGGCGAGUGGCGGACGGGUGAGGCAUACAUCGGAAUCUACUUUUUCGGGGGGGAUAACGGAGGGCAACAUACGCUAAUACAUCAUACGUCCUACGGCUGAGAGCAGGAGUGAUUGACACCUUUCCUGACUGAAUGAGACGAAGCCGUGCCGGAUUAGCUAGUUGGUAAGGUAACGGCCUACCAAGGCAACGAUGCGUAGCUGAUCUGAGAGGAUGAUCAGCCACACUGGAACUGAGACACGGUCCAGACUCCUACGGGAGGCAGCAGUGGGGAAUAUUGGACAAUGGGCGAAAGCCUGAUCCAGCCAUACCGCGUGAGUGAAGAAGGCCUUCGGGUUGUAAAGCCCUUUUGUUGGGAAAGAAAAGCAGUAGGUUAAAACCCCGCUGUUCUGACGGUACCCAAAGAAUAAGCACCGGCUAACUUCGUG